rnacentral:rRNA from 1 species
CAUGCCUAACACAUGCAAGUCGAACGGGGUUUAUAUGACGGAACUCUCCGGAGGGAAGAUAUAUAAACCUAGUGGCGGACGGGUGAGUAACGCGUGGGCAACCUGCCCUGUACCGGGGGACAACAGCCAGAAAUGGCUGCUAAUACCGCAUAAGCCUGCUGUGCCGCAUGGCACAGCAGGGAAAACCACGGUGGUACAGGAUGGGCCCGCGUCUGAUUAGUUAGUUGGCAGGGUAACGGCCUACCAAGACAACGAUCAGUAGCCGGCUUGAGAGAGUGGACGGCCACAUUGGGACUGAGACACGGCCCAGACUCCUGCGGGAGGCAGCAGUGGGGAAUAUUGCACAAUGGGGGGAACCCUGAUGCAGCAAUGCCGCGUGGGUGAAGAAGCACUCCGGUGCGUAAAGCCCUGUCAGCAGGGAAGAAAAUGACAGUACCUGACCAAGAAGCCCCGGCUAACUACGUGCCAGCAGCCGCGGUAAUACGUAGGGGGCAAGCGUUAUCCGGAUUUACUGGGUGUAAAGGGAGCGCAGGCGGCGUGGCAAGUCAGAUGUGAAAACCCGGGGCCCAACCCCGGGAGUGCAUUUGAAACUGCCAUGCUGGAGUGCCGGAGAGGUAAGCGGAAUUCCUAGUGUAGCGGUGAAAUGCGUAGAUAUUAGGAGGAACACCAGUGGCGGAGGCGGCUUACUGGACGGUAACUGACGCUGAGGCUCGAAAGCGUGGGGAGCAAACAGGAUUAGAUACCCUGGUAGUCCACGCCGUAA